AUGUUAAACUAAGUCACCCACUGGCGGCCAUCUUGGAUGAUGGAUCGGCUGCAAAGUAACAACACUUGGUCAGCACCUUAUAAGGAACAUUCAUGCCAUGUUUGGUUUCAUUCCAUUUAGUGGUUCUCUAAAAGAAGACAUUUGUAUGUAUUUCCCAUAGGGUCCUAUGUUAAACUAAGUUCCCCGCUGGCGGCCAUCUUGGAUGAUGGAUCGGCUACAAA